CUUUCUUCUUUGCUCUCAAAUCUUAAAAAGAAGAAAGAAAAAUUACACUAGAGAUGAUCUUUAUUCUCAUUAGUGAAUACAUAUCGGUUUAGAAUCAAUUUUUUGUUUGGUUAUCGUUCGGUUUGGUCUGUUUCAACUGAAGAGAAAUUUACAGAAAUAAGACCAAUACUUGUUUAUUUUAGUUUGGCUAUACUUCCAUUUGAUUUAGUUCUGGUUUGGUCCAUCCUGGUUUGGGUUUG